rnacentral:rRNA from 1 species
AACGAACGCUGGCGGCAUGCCUAACACAUGCAAGUCGAACGGGACCUUCGGGUCUAGUGGCGCAUGGGUGCGUAACGCGUGGGAACCUGCCUUUAGGUUCGGAAUAACUCAGAGAAAUUUGAGCUAAUACCGGAUGAUGUCUUCGGACCAAAGAUUUAUCGCCUUUAGAUGGGCCCGCGUUGGAUUAGCUAGUUGGUGGGGUAAAGGCCUACCAAGGCGACGAUCCAUAGCUGGUCUGAGAGGAUGAUCAGCCACACUGGGACUGAGACACGGCCCAGACUCCUACGGGAGGCAGCAGUGGGGAAUAUUGGACAAUGGGCGAAAGCCUGAUCCAGCAAUGCCGCGUGAGUGAUGAAGGCCUUAGGGUUGUAAAGCUCUUUUACCCGAGAUGAUAAUGACAGUAUCGGGAGAAUAAGCUCCGGCUAACUCCGUG